rnacentral:lncRNA from 1 species
CGAACACCAGACUCUGCUGUAAAUGGAGCCCAGGAGAAAGGGUACUAUGUUUGGGAUGUCCGUCUUCAGCCAGCCAUCAGAAAUCUUGUGGCUUCCUUUUUCUCCUAGAGAGAUGAGAGUACGAGAGUGAACAGAAGCAGGGGGACUGGAAGAGGGAGAAGCAGGCUUCCUGCUCAGCACGUGGCUCGAUCCCAGGACCCUGGGAUCAUGACCUGAGCCGAAGGCAGACGCUUAUUGUCUGAGCCACCCAGGCACCCCAUCUUCUUCCUCUUAUUUCUUAAGCUUCAUCUUUUGUUCUUAAAAAAAAAAAAUCACCUCAGG